UACGAAGGGGGCUAGCGUUGUUCGGAAUUACUGGGCGUAAAGCGCACGUAGGCGGAUAUUUAAGUCAGGGGUGAAGUCCCAGAGCUCAACUCUGGAACUGCCUUUGAUACUGGGUAUCUCGAGUAUGGAAGAGGUAAGUGGAAUUCCGAGUGUAGAGGUGAAAUUCGUAGAUAUUCGGAGGAACACCAGUGGCGAAGGCGGCUUACUGGUCCAUUACUGACGCUGAGGUGCGAAAGCGUGGGUAGCAAACAGG
rnacentral:rRNA from 1 species